GGCUUUGCUGAAACACCUUCCAGGUAUGCGUCAGCUCCAGUAACCAUUGGAAACAGACCUCUUUGUGGAGGACAAAGGCAAGCCUGAAGGAUGGGACCUGCCAACGAUUCCCUCUUGUGUGCAGCCACAAGACACACGGGCCGUGUUGAUUUACCGACAAAGACAAGGUCUCCUUCUGGGGAGCUGUUCCAUUGAUUCAGCCUUGGUCAGACUUAUUGGAAGAUUCCUGCCUGCUUCAAAUUUACCAAGGUUGUUAGGGAUAGAGAUACCGGAGCUGCAGAUACCACAGCUGCUGACGGAGUGGUGCAGAUGAGUGGAUGCUGUUAGUGGGGGGGCAUAGAAACGGCAGACAAAGAAUGAUGACUCCCAAAGAAAGCGCCACAUUGCAAAUCCCGCCAUGCAUAUCGAAGCGAACCACUGCAUCCCAAAACGCUGGAUAUUUGAUGGUGUGUUUUGUUUUAUGUGAUCUAAUAAAAAAAAAA